AAUCAUUCUUCGCCACCGUCUCUCGAUUCAAGAGUUUUCCAAAUGCUAACUUUCAAAAUUGAAGACGAGUCUCUCAAAGAGUACAUAAACCAUAGAGUAGAAACACCCACUCGACAUUAUCAACAAAAAGAUAGAUAUGGGUCAUUGCCAUUCAAUGAAGUUGUUUUUUUACUAAAUUUUUAACCCAAUACAAGUUUCCUUCGAUGUUUUUCUGAAUCAGUCAGUAUAUCGAUUUCAGCUAUAAACAUGAACACCCAAUCGAUUAUCUUUAACCAUUUUCUUAGAUCUGAAAUAAAUCGACCGUUUGAUGAUCUUAAUUCUAUAUUGGUGUUUGAUAAUUGAGCUAUUAAACGUUUAAAUUGGCAAUUUGUUAUUCAUAUUUUAGGUGGGAAUUGUCUAAAACAAUUGGGGAUUUUAGGUUUUUCUAAUUAUUGCAGUUUUUGGGUUGGUAUUAGCGGAGAGGCAGUCAUGAAGAGUUUGUUUCGCCGCCUUCCUGUUGCAAACCCACGGGAUGGCUGGGUUGACGGUUCAUAGACUGUGGAUUGUGUCUCUGGUAUCAAUUUUGAUGAUGGGGAGGAGAUGGCCAAUUGCGAUGACUAAAGUGUCUGGGCAUAGCAGAAAUUUCAAAAACCCAUAUUCGCUUCUUCCGAAUCAGUUAGUGUCAUCGAUUAAGAUCAAUGGAUUGUCAACUCUUCUUUACGGUGUACGCUUGAUUGAUACACUUGGAAACUCACGAAAAUAACAACACUCUAAGAUUUACCAAUAAAGUAUCACAUCCGAUAUCAAUUCAAAAAUGUGGAGGGGUUAUUAGAGGUAGUAAAAUCAAGAGAUGUCAUCAUGAAAUUGCUAUAUCAUGGGGGUCUCUCAAACUAAGAUAAGGCUUAACCAACUGAUGUUUAUAAACAAGGACUAUUAGCAUUUCACAAGUAAAGAAACAGAUGAUACUGAAAGGCCAAAUAUGCUCUUAAUUGACACGACAAUGACUACUCAGUAAUGAUAAUAUGGUGCAGGAGUAGCCUAAAACUGCUAUCUUGUAUGAUCUAUACUUUCAGAUAUGUGCAACAUGUCAAUUUUUCCUUGCAACGUUGAUGUUGAAGGACCAGAAAUUUAUGAGGUGCUACAUAUUUUUGGACCUUAUGAUUAGCUUUACUGCUUCCAAGAAAUACUGGAUAAGGAAUCUUGAUGAACACCUGCAGAAUUGGAUAUAGAAAGACAUACAGUGAUUCAGUGUCUUGAAAAUCAAUCGAAAAAAGCAUAUCCAAGAUUAGCAUUUUGAUUUACUACUUUGAUAUUUAGAUAUCAUUGUUCAGCUCUAGCUCGAUCUUUCAUGUAAUGCACAUAAGUCUUGAUUAGUAAAUAGUAGAUGCAAUAAUAAGUUACGAGAAAGGAAAAGAGGGGGAAAAAGAAUGGACUGUAUUGGUUUCAACCUUCUCUUUUUCGUAUUGACUAUUUCUGCUAACUUUUGAUUCCAUGGGAUUCGUAUUUAUGCGGGUGGUGUUGGUGUACUUCGAAAACUCCAACACGAAAGUAAAGAAGAGAGGAAAUAUUUCAUAAUUUAAUUGAAUUAGAAUAUUCCUCUUUAUUUAAUUUAAAUUUCUGUGUCACGUCAGCAGACAAUUGAUCUCUUUCAAUAGUUCAUUUUGGCAAGAGGUCAAUAUGGUAUUGAUGCUGAGGAUUGUUAGAAAUUUCAGACACAUCUUUAACCUUGUUGUACUGUUAGCAGAUAGAUGAGACACUCAGUUCAUUCAGCUUGUGUUGCGGCAUUAAAUCAGUGGAUUAUGGAUAUUAUGCAUUUUGUAGGAUUCGUUUCUGGGGAUUGCCUUCAAGCAUUGUUUUUCAAAUUUUAUUUUAAUGAUUUAUUGAAAUUUCUUGAUGACUAAUCACUGACAGUUUGUGUGUUUCAAUCCAAUCAGUGUUAUGUUUCUCCAAAUUCUAUUUUUUCAUUCUUUUGGUUAGAAACUGCUGUAUGUCAUUGCCAAAUGACUUAAAACAUAUCCCACAAUUGAAGAUAGCAUGAAAAUGUAAAAUGUUGGACUUGUGCGAGCACAGACAAUAACCAUCUAGUAACAUAUAUAUUAGUGGAAGCUAUGUACGACGAAGGGCAGUGGCGUAAUUCACCAAAGGGUAGUUGUGUAAUUAACAUGUAACUCAUUGGCUCUUCCCCAUCCACCUGUUAACAUUUUCAACCGUACAUUAAAAGUUCUUGAAUCUUCCCAAUUUUACUUUAUUUCCCCAAAAUUGUACCUCCUCAUCCUCCUCUCAAAAUCUGUCCACAGCAACAAACAUCCUUCACAAUCUUUUCGGUUGUUGAAAAAAAAAAGUUAUCAGUUUGUACCAAUUUGUGCCUUGCUGGUUAUUGUUCUUAUAUGUGAUCGAUCAUCUUCACUUUGG